GACCUGGCUCAAGAUAACUCGCCUUUAAAGAGAAAGCAAGUCUAGGCUUUUUCUGGGGAAUAUUGAUGAUAUGAGAAAGGUGGAGUUUGAGAGUUUAAAACCAAACUGAAUGAAGUGAAGUGGGCAAAAAGUCCGUUACCGUAGCUGAAAUUGCCCGAGACGACUCGCAUUUGGCUUAAGAUAACUCGCCUUUUGAAGAGAAAGCACGUCUACGCAUUUUCUUGGGAGUUGUUGAUGAUAUGAGAAAGGUGGAGUUUAAAAGCUAAAACCAAACCGAAUAUAGAAAUGAGCUGGGAAAGAAAACCCAUAGCUGAAAUUCCCCGAGAUGACUCGCAUUUAAAGAGACGGCAAGUCCAAA